CAGCAGCCACGGGAAUACGGAGGGUGCAAGCGUUAAUCGGAAUUACUGGGCGUAAAGCGUGCGUAGGCGGUUCGUUAAGUCUGUUGUGAAAGCCCCGGGCUCAACCUGGGAAUGGCAAUGGAUACUGGCGAGCUAGAGUGUGUCAGAGGAUGGUGGAAUUCCCGGUGUAGCGGUGAAAUGCGUAGAGAUCGGGAGGAACAUCAGUGGCGAAGGCGGCCAUCUGGGACAACACUGACGCUGAGGCACGAAAGCGUGGGGAGCAAACAGGAUUAGAUACCCCUGUAGUCCCUGUCUCUUAUAC
rnacentral:rRNA from 1 species